GACGUAGGGCGCGAGCGUUGUCCGGAUUUAUUGGGCGUAAAGAGCUCGUAGGCGGUUCAUUGCGUCAACCGUGAAAUCCUGUGGCUCAACUACAGGUCUGCGGUUGAUACGGGUGGGCUGGAGUUCGGUAGGGGAGACUGGAAUUCCUGGUGUAGCGGUGAAAUGCGCAGAUAUCAGGAGGAACACCAGUGGCGAAGGCGGGUCUCUGGGCCGAUACUGACGCUGAGGAGCGAAAGCGUGGGGAGCGAACAGGAUUAGAAACCCCAGUAGUCC
rnacentral:rRNA from 1 species